rnacentral:lncRNA from 1 species
UUGUGGAAGAUUAAGGUUACUAAACACACUAUAUUAGCAAUCUAGAACAUAACAAAAUGAGAUCUGGAUUACCUCUAGCACGAUCAUCAACUUCUAAAGCUAUGUCUGCAAACAACUCUUGUAACAAAUCACGUCUCUGAGUUGGCGAAUCAAAAACCUUUAGAAGCUUUUUAUCGAUGGCUUGAGUGAGAGCAGAGAUAUAAGCAGAGGUUCUGCGAGUAUAGAUUAGUGGCGCCAUAUGUGCCCUAACAGAGCAUUUGAAUUGGAAACCAGAGUGAUUGAUUAACAGCAAACCCUAAGGUUCGGUUAUGGAUGAUGAAAUAUUGAAAUUGAUACCGACCGACAAACGGUUAGUGGGGUCAAAAGUAAUGACAAGAUCUGGGAAAUGAUUUAAUGGCGGUGGAAUGUAGCGUGGCACCAUGUCAACACAACACCACACGCCAACAGAUAGAGCAGGUGACGUAAACGUUACGAUUAUGGCAUGACUGUAGGAUUUGUAUUUCGAAUCAUUGGCUGUACAUUAUUGGUUUUGGUAUUACAAACGUAUCAAUUUCCUAUUAUUAUUAAUUACUGA